UGGGGAAUAUUGCACAAUGGAGGAAACUCUGAUGCAGCGACGCCGCGUGAACGAAGAAGGCUUUCGAGUCGUAAAGUUCUUUUAUAUGGGAAGAUAAUGACGGUACCAUAAGAAAAAGCCCCGGCUAACUACGUGCCAGCAGCCGCGGUAAUACGUAGGGGGCUAGCGUUGUCCGGAAUCACUGGGCGUAAAGGGUUCGCAGGCGGAAAUGCAAGUCAGGUGUAAAAGGCAGUAGCUUAACUACUGUAAGCAUUUGAAACUGCAUAUCUUGAGAAGAGUAGAGGUAAGUGGAAUUUUUAGUGUAGCGGUGAAAUGCGUAGAUAUUAAAAAGAAUACCGGUGGCGAAGGCGGCUUACUGGGCUCAUUCUGACGCUGAGGAACGAAAGCGUGGGUAGCAAACAGG
rnacentral:rRNA from 1 species